rnacentral:rRNA from 1 species
AUUGAACGCUGGCGGCAGGCCUAACACAUGCAAGUCGAACGGUAACAGGAAGAAGCUUACUUCUUUGCUGACGAGUGGCGGACGGGUGAGUAAUGUAUGGGGAUCUGCCCGAUGGAGGGGGAUAACUACUGGAAACGGUAGCUAAUACCGCAUAAUGUCGCAAGACCAAAGAGGGGGACCUUAGGGCCUCUUACCAUCGGAUGAACCCAUAUGGGAUUAGCUAGUAGGUGGGGUAAUGGCUCACCUAGGCGACGAUCUCUAGCUGGUCUGAGAGGAUGACCAGCCACACUGGAACUGAGACACGGUCCAGACUCCUACGGGAGGCAGCAGUGGGGAAUAUUGCACAAUGGGGGAAACCCUGACGCAGCAACGCCGCGUGAUUGAAGAAGGCCUUCGGGUUGUAAAGCUCUUUUAGUGAGGAAGAUAAUGACGGUACUCACAGAAGAAGUCCUGGCUAACUCCGUGCCAGCAGCCGCGGUAACAC